rnacentral:tRNA from 3 species
GAAAUAAAUAAAGUUAAAGCUUCUAACUUUAAAUCUUAAUGAAUAAAAUUCAUUAUUAUUUCA